CUCACGGGUCCCCCCUGCACACAGCCACUCAGCACACGACAAAGUGUUUCAGAGCGGGGAAAGAGAAGCCCGGAGCCGCCGAUCAUUUGACACGGGCUCACACUUGUCUGCAAACAUGGAGCUCUCGCCCUCCCCGGUGACAAACCAUCACACACCUCUGCGGUGCGUCUUCAAGUAGCCCCGUCACCUUCGCAUCAGUUAAGCGUCACGCAUCGUUCCUGCAAAGACUAUCGCGAGGUGACUUCUACGCUCUGGAUGCAUUUCAAAACAUGCUAACCAGCAUUCAGGAGGAAGAGACUAUACUACAAAGACUUUAGAGAUGUUUCAGUUGUCUCCCUCUUCAAAACUAAAGGCAACAAGGCAAACUGUGGCAACUACCAAGAUCUCUCAGGAAAGACAUUGGAAACACCAAGGCCUUUGAAUGGAGAAUCCUGUGAAAGGUACAUCCCAACCAUUGAGCACAUCUGCAUGAAACAUUGUCAUAGGAAAGCAGCAUCCAUCAUCAGAGAUCUCCACCACUCAAGUCAUGGUCUAUUUUCACUGCUGUCAUCAGAUAGAAGGUACAAGAGCCUCAGGACUCAUACCACCAGUUCAGGAACAUUUACUAUCUCUCAACCAUCAGGCUGUUGAAUAAAAAGAGAUAACUGCACUCAUUUACCCUAUCAUUGAAAUGCUCCUUCAACCAAUGAUCUCAUUUGAAGGACUCUUUAUCUCAUUAUCUCAUGUAGUCAUUACUUAUUGCUAUUUACUUAUAUUUGCAUUUGCACAAUUUGUUACCUUCUGUAUUCUGGAUGAUUUUUCAUUGAUCCUGUUAAUAGUUACUAUUCUAUAGAUUUACUGAGUAUACCCACAGGAAAAUGAAUCUCAGGGUUGUAUGUGCUGACAUAUAUGUACUCUGAUAAUAAAAUUUACUUUGAACUUUGAGCUUUCAAGAAUAGUUAAUAUCCAUCUCAUUCAGAUAAACUGGGAAGUCUGAGGGUUGGGCUAAUUUCACUUGCUCUCCUGCUAUGUUCAUUCCUCUCGGCAGCAAUGAGGCUGUGAACUGAUCCAUUGGCUGUCGUCUCUGUGAGUCUCUGUGGUGGUUAAGGUCUUUCUUAUUUUUAAUUGAAUUCUUCGUGUUUCUUGCUUUGCGGCUGCCUGUAAGCAAACAAAUUUCAAGGUGUAUAAUUUAUAUAUUUUUUGACAAUAAAUGUACCUUGAAUCUUU